GAUGUAUGUUUGCAGGUUUGAGUGAUUCAACCGUGUAUGUUUGCAGGUUUCAGUGAUUCAACCAUGUAUGUUUGCAGGUUUGAGUGAUUCAACCGUGUAUGUUUGCAGGUUUGAGUGAUUCAAACUGAUGUAUGUUUGCAGGUUUGAGUGAUUCAACCGUGUAUGUUUGCAGGUUUGAGUGAUUCAACCAUGUAUGUUUGCAGGUUUGAGUGAUUCAACCGUGUAUGUUUGCAGGUUUGAGUGAUUCGAACUGAUGUAUGUUUGAAGGUUUGAGAGAGUCGAACCGUAUGAUUGUGGUACAUUAGGUAUUAAGUCGAUGUUCUAAUACCAAGUUUGUAUGACCUUCGGGUAAAUAACAGGUGUGAGACCUAGGUUAUGUUUUGAAACGGUAAAGGAGAAGUGCACGGUGUUUACUAGACAGUGGCUAGAUUGGGACACAUUCUAAGGCAGCACACAAUUGAACCUGAUCAUUUAUAUUGUAUUCAAAUUAAAACAAGUAAUUGAAAUACAUUAGACAAUGGCUAAUCAGGAGGCAGAGAAG
ensembl:lncRNA